AUUGAACGCUGGCGGCAUGCCUUACACAUGCAAGUCGAACGGCAGCACGGGAGCAAUCCUGGUGGCGAGUGGCGAACGGGUGAGUAAAGUAUCGGAACGUGCCCAGUCGUGGGGGAUAACGUAGCGAAAGUUACGCUAAUACCGCAUACGAUCUAUGGAUGAAAGCGGGGGAUCGCAAGACCUCGCGCGAUUGGAGCGGCCGAUAUCAGAUUAGGUAGUUGGUGGGGUAAAGGCUCACCAAGCCGACGAUCUGUAGCUGGUCUGAGAGGACGACCAGGCACACUGGGACUGAGACACGGCCCAGACUCCUAGGGGAGGCAGCAGUGGGGAAUUUUGGACAAUGGGCGAAAGCCUGAUCCAGCCAUGCCGCGUGCAGGAUGAAGGCCUUCGGGUUGUAAACUGCUUUUGUACGGAACGAAAAGGUUUGGCCUAAUAAGCUGAGCUCAUGACGGUACCGUAAGAAUAAGCACCGGCUAACUACGUGCCAGCCGCCGCAGUAA
rnacentral:rRNA from 1 species